AGUGAACGCUGGCGGCAGGCCUAAUACAUGCAAGUCGAACGGCAGCACAGCAGAGCUUGCUCUGUGGGUGGCGAGUGGCGGACGGGUGAGGAAUACAUGGGAAUCUGCCCAGUCGUGGGGGAUAACGUAUGGAAACGUACGCUAAUACCGCAUGCGCCCUACGGGGGAAAGCCGGGGACCGCAAGGCCUGGCGCGAUUGGAUGAGCCCAUGUUCGAUUAGCUAGUUGGCGGGGUAAAGGCCCACCAAGGCGACGAUCGAUAGCUGGUCUGAGAGGAUGAUCAGCCACACUGGAACUGAGACACGGUCCAGACUCCUACGGGAGGCAGCAGUAGGGAAUAUUGGACAAUGGGGGCAACCCUGAUCCAGCCAUGCCGCGUGAGUGAAGAAGGCCCUCGGGUUGUAAAGCUCUUUUGUCCAGAAAGAAAAGCAUCUGGUUAAUACCCGGGUGUUCUGACGGUACCGGAAGAAUAAGCACCGG
rnacentral:rRNA from 1 species